GGAGGUGUUAUUUUCACUAAGUCUGAAAUAGUGCGUAAGAUGCCAUUUUGUGUCUUCUUUUCCUAGUGCUCCUUGCUGCCAUGCUAGUAAUUGUUAGUUGUUUGUAGUAGAGCGUCUUGCCCUCUUUCAUGCCAUGCCUUGCUUGAGCUCAUCGGAGUGGUGUAGCCGAAGUUGUGAGGCGUAGGAAGUGCUAUGCGGCUGUUCUUGGC
rnacentral:lncRNA from 1 species